rnacentral:rRNA from 1 species
AACGAACGCUGGCGGCAGGCUUAACACAUGCAAGUCGAGCGCCCCGCAAGGGGAGCGGCAGACGGGUGAGUAACGCGUGGGAAUCUACCCAUCCCUACGGAACAACUCCGGGAAACUGGAGCUAAUACCGUAUACGUCCUUCGGGAGAAAGAUUUAUCGGGGAUGGAUGAGCCCGCGUUGGAUUAGCUAGUUGGUGGGGUAAUGGCCUACCAAGGCGACGAUCCAUAGCUGGUCUGAGAGGAUGAUCAGCCACACUGGGACUGAGACACGGCCCAGACACCUACGGGAGGCAGCAGUGGGGAAUAUUGGACGAUGGGCGCAAGCCUGAUCCAGCCAUGCCGCGUGAGUGAUGACGGCCCUAGGGUUGUAAAGCUCUUUCGCAGGUGAAGAUAAUGACGGUAACCUGAGAAGAAGCCCCGGCUAACUUCGUGCCAGCCGCCGCAGUAA